AUUAAACGCUGGCGGCAUGCCUUACACAUGCAAGUCGAACGGCAGCACGGGGGCAACCCUGGUGGCGAGUGGCGGACGGGUGAGUAAAGCAUCGGAACGUAUCCUGGAGUGGGGGAUAACGUAGCGAAAGUUACGCUAAUACCGCAUAUUCUGUGAGCAGGAAAGCAGGGGAUCGCAAGACUUUGCGCUCUGGGAGCGGCCGAUGUCGGAUUAGCUAGUUGGUGGGGUAAAGGCCUACCAAGGCGACGAUCCGUAGCGGGUCUGAGAGGAUGAUCCGCCACACUGGGACUGAGACACGGCCCAGACUCCUACGGGAGGCAGCAGUGGGGAAUUUUGGACAAUGGCGCAAGCCUGAUCCAGCCAUGCCGCGUGAGUGAAGAAGGCCUUC
rnacentral:rRNA from 1 species